rnacentral:rRNA from 1 species
AGCGAACGCUGGCGGCAGGCCUAACACAUGCAAGUCGAACGAACUCUUCGGAGUUCGUUGCGGACGGGUGAGUCACACGAGGGAACGGGCCUUUAGGCUCGGACUAACCCAGGGAAACGUGUGCUAAUCCCGAAUGUGCCCUUCUGGGGCAUGAUUUAUCGCCGUUAGAGCGGCUCGCGUCUGUUUAGCUAGUUGGUGAGGUAAAGGCUCACCAAGGCGACGAUCAGUAGCUGGUAUGAGAGGAUGAUCCGCCACAUUGGGACUGAGACACGGCCCAAGCUCCUACGGGAGGCAGCAGUGGGGAAGCUUGCGCAAUGGGCGAAAGCCUGACGAAGACAGGCCGCGUGAAUGAAGAAGGCCUUAGGAUUGUAAAAUUCUUUCACCGGGGAAGAUAAUGACGGUACCCGGAGAAGAAGCCCCGGCUAACUUCGUG